ensembl:lncRNA
UGUUGACCUCGCCCGAGGUGCGGCUGGUUGUCAGUGGGUGCGUGCAGCAGCUUGCUGCCUGCCCCUUGCAGCAUCCCCGCCUCAGGUGUGCCUCUGCUUCCCCAAAGGGAGCCAAGUCAUGGUCUGUGCAGCUCCUCCCGCCCUCUGCUCGGGUAUGGCACACGGGGACAGACCCUGGGAGCAGGGAACCCGACUGUCACCUGCUGCAUCCAGCAGGAUUUUCGCUCAGCCCUUUGGCUGUCCAAACAUUUGCGGAGUGCUGGCAGGCCCGGAAUGUGUGCAAGAGCUCCGGCAGCGUGUCUCAGGCGUGGGAAAGCUCUGCUCUCCUCAACCUUUACAGGCUUGUUCCCCCUCAGGCAGCGAUUCAAUAAAACCCGCGCCAGAGAUUUAUUGAGCUGAUAAUGACAGCUUCAGUCAGCAGGCAGACACCGGCGAAGCCUCCAAAAAAAUAAAAUAAUAAAGUAAAGUGGAAUAAAAAAAAGAGGGAAGAAAUGCUGGUGCCCGGCCCAGGCUGCAACCCCCCCCCUUGCUGAGGGUCCCUGGGUGGGCAGUGCAGUGCAGGGGGUGUGGGGGGGAUGCGGUGUGCUGGUAUCCCAUGGGGUGCAGUGCUGGGGAUGCUGGGGGGCUCUCUGCUCUGCUCUUUGUGGGUUGUGCUGCAAGGAAGCAAACUGCAGCCCCGUGCAGCCAGCAGUGCCAUUCUGGUUCUGUGCCCCUUAGGGAAAUCCUGGAAGACAAAAGAGAGGAGGAACCCAGCCCGGCCCCCAGGGCACUGUGCAGCCACGCUGGGGUUAAAUCCCUCAAACACACCUGUGCUUAUCAAGCCCGUUUUUACCCAUGGGAAAUGCAGGAGAUAGAGGGGAAGUGACUCACCUGCAGGAGCUGGGAACAGACCCGCUCGCCCAGCACAGCGAUAAGCAGGGUUCAUGGCUUGCUCCGGUGCACGGCAAUGCAUGGCACAUGGCAAUGCAUGGCACACAGCAAUGCAUGGCACAUAGCAAUGCAUGGCACACGGCGGUGCAUGGCACACAGCAGUGCAUGGCACACAGCAAUGCAUGGCACAUGGUAAUGCAUGGCACACAGCAAUGCAUGGCGCAUGGUAAUGCAUGGCACACUGCAGUGCAUGGCACACUGCAUUCCCUCCAGCAAACCCAUGCAGCUCAGUGCUGUGCUUUAAGGAAACCUUUCCUGAGAUAACCCUCAGUUCAGAACCCUCCACCUCCUAUGGGAGCUCCUGGAGGCACAGAAAAACGUGCUGGGGUAUGAAAGGACCUCGCAUCGCCUCUCUGAUUUAAUUAUUACCUUCUGUCCUCUUUGUGGCACUGCAAUCAUUCAGGUGAGCUUUCUCCAUGCUGAGAGUGCUUGGUGGCACCGGGGGGUGGCUGUGCAGCCCUGUCCCCGAGCACAGCACCUCAAAGCCCAUUGAGAUAAAGGCAUCCCAGGCAGAAGGGGAGCACGGGGGGCGGCGGUUCCAGCGGGGCCUUUUGCAAUUUGGCUGUCAACAGAUAGGGCAACUGGUUUCUAUAAUAAACACCGAGGGAUAGGUUUUCAAAGAGCAGAGGCCCUGCCUGCCCGGGCUGUGUGUAAUUUGUAACAGAGCAAAUCCAAGGGGCUGGCGGGCUGCCGCGCUCGGCUCGCGGGUUUGGCUGCCGUUUGGUGAGUCCAGAAGGUGCAGGUUCCCUCUGAACGCACAACCCCAACACGCUGAGGCUCUGUGGCUUUGCUGUUUGGUGUCCCAAAGCACGCGCUGUGCCGGUUGCGUGGCUGCGAGGGGCCCUCCCGCAGCUCCCCGGGGCGGGUGAGCACCGCGCACGCAGCAUCUGCUUGGCUGCAAAGCUGUCCGCCUUCCGGCAGCUUUGAGAAACGUGUGACCUCCUGGCACGGCAGCCCAGCUCCUGUCGCAGUGGGGCGGCUCGCUCCCUGGGUGGCAGGCAGCGGGGCAGCUCCCUUCUCCCAGCAGAAGCCACGAAGCUCUUGCACACAUGCGUGCACGCACGCAGCCCUUCCAAAGGCUCUGCCGGCUCCCGGCAUCUGUUCCACAUCACCUUCCUCCUUCUGCAGGGCUCGCUCCAUCCUUCCCCCAGAUGUUUCCAUCCCCCCGUGGUAUGAGGAACGCACAGAGCGAGCGCAGAUGUCGGCGUUGUGCAGCCAGCUCUGGCCUGGGGCAUGC